GAACGAAGCACAGAUGUAGAAUUUCUUCGGAAAGGAAGCGCCUGUGACUGAGUGGCGGACGGGUGAGUAACGCGUGGGCAACCUGCCCCAUACCGGGGGACAACAGCUGGAAACGGCUGCUAAUACCGCAUACGUUUUCGGUGCCGCAUGGCGCCGAAAAGAAAACUCUGGUGGUAUGGGAUGGGCCCGCGUCUGAUUAGCUAGUUGGGAGGGUAACGGCCUACCAAGGCGACGAUCUGUAGCCGGCCUGAGAGGGCGACCGGCCAUAUUGGGACUGAGACACGGCCCAGACUCCUGCGGGAGGCAGCAGUGGGGAAUAUUGCACAAUGGGGGAAACCCUGAUGCGGGGACGCAGAAAAAAAAGAAGAAGUACCUCGGCCCCCAAAGCUCUAUCAGCAGGGAAGAAAGUGACAAAACCUGACUAAGAAGCCCCGGCUAACUACGUGCCAGCAGCCGCGGUAAUACGUAGGGGGCAAGCGUUAUCCGGAUUCACUGGGCGUAAAGGGAGCGCAGGCGGCGCGGCAAGUCUGAUGUGAAAGCCCGGGGCUCAACCCCGGGUCUGCAUUGGAAACUGUCGAGCUGGAGUGUCGGAGGGGUAAGCGGAAUUCCUAGUGUAGCGGUGAAAUGGGUAGAUAUUAGGGGGAACACCAGUGGCGAAGGCGGCUUACUGGACGAUGACUGAC
rnacentral:rRNA from 1 species